AUUGAACGCUGGCGGCAGGCUUAACACAUGCAAGUCGAGCGGGGGAAGGUAGCUUGCUACCGGACCUAGCGGCGGACGGGUGAGUAAAGCUUAGGAAUAUGCCUACUAGUGGGGGACGACAUCUCGAAAGGGAUGCUACUACCGCCUACGUCCUACGGGAGAAAGCAGGGGAUCUUCGGACCUGGCGCUAAUAGAUGAGCAUACGUCGGAUUAGCUAGUUGGUGGGGUAAAGGCCUACCAAGGCGACGAUCUGUAGCUGGUCUGAGAGGAUGAUCCGCCACACUGGGACUGAGACACGGCCCAGACGCCUACGGGAGGCAGCAGUGGGGAAUAUUGGACAAUGGGGGGAACCCUGAUCCAGCCAUGCCGCGUGUGUGAAGAAGGCCUUAUGGUUGUAAAGCACUUUAAGCGAGGAGGAGGCUACUUUAGUUAAUACCUAGGGAUAGUGGACGUUACUCGCAGAAUAAGCACCGGCUAACUCUGUGCCAGCCGCCGCCGUAA
rnacentral:rRNA from 1 species